rnacentral:rRNA from 1 species
AUUGAACGCUGGCGGCAUGCCUUACACAUGCAAGUCGAACGGCAGCACGGGAGCAAUCCUGGUGGCGAGUGGCGAACGGGUGAGUAAAGUAUCGGAACGUGCCCAGUCGUGGGGGAUAACGUAGCGAAAGUUACGCUAAUACCGCAUACGAUCUAUGGAUGAAAGCGGGGGAUCGCAAGACCUCGCGCGAUUGGAGCGGCCGAUAUCGGAUUAGGUAGUUGGUGGGGUAAAGGCUCACCAAGCCGACGAUCUGUAGCUGGUCUGAGAGGACGACCAGCCACACUGGGACUGAGACACGGCCCAGACACCUACGGGAGGCAGCAGUGGGGAAUUUUGGACAAUGGGCGCAAGCCUGAUCCAGCCAUGCCGCGUGCAGGAUGAAGGCCUUCGGGUUGUAAACUGCUUUUGUACGGAACGAAAAGGUUUGACUUAAUACGUUGGACUCAUGACGGUACCGUAAGAAUAAGCACCGGCUAACUACGUGCCAGCAGCCGCCGUAA